rnacentral:rRNA from 1 species
UGGGGAAUUUUGCACAAUGGGGGAAACCCUGAUGCAGCGACGCCGCGUGAUUUAGAAGGCCUUCGGGUUGUAAAAAUCUUUUCUAUGGGAAGAAAAUGACAGUACCAUAGGAAUAAGGACUGGCUAAUUACGUGCCAGCAGCCGCGGUAAUACGUAAGGUCCGAGCGUUGUCCGGAAUCAUUGGGCGUAAAGGGUACGUAGGCGGGUAAGCAAGUUAGAAGUGAAAUCCUGUAGCUCAACUACAGUAAGCUUUUAAAACUGCUCAUCUUGAGGUAUGGAAGGGAAAGUGGAAUUCCUAGUGUAGCGGUGAAAUGCGCAGAUAUUAGGAGGAAUACCGGUGGCGAAGGCAGGUUACUGGGCAGUUACUGACGCUGAGGAGCGAAAGCAUGGGUAGCGAACAGG